rnacentral:snoRNA from 6 species
AUAACAAUUUGUGAUGCUUUAGGGAGCCUAUUGUUUGAUGGUUUAUAGGAGCCAGAUUUGUCUUUUUGACUAAUUUUCAACCUAUUCUUACUUCCAAAACUGUUGCAAUGGCUCUCGUUUUUGUUAAAUUUUUCUCUUUUCUCUUCUUUGGCAUAGUUUAUUUUUAAUAACUUAUUUCAGGGUGAGAUAGAGAAAGAAUAAUGAGUAUCGUAGAUAAAUCUUCGGUUCCGAAUAGUGUAACUGUUGGUGCUGAGGUAAUCCAUCUUUAAAACCAUCGCCGUUAGAGGUUGCUUCUGAUAUUUUCGGUUAAGCGACCCAUGAAAUGGUGAUGACCUGAGGUAUGGAACAUCU